rnacentral:rRNA from 1 species
GUAGGUGGCAAGCGUUGUCCGGAAUUAUUGGGCGUAAAGCGCGCGCAGGCGGUUCGUUUAAGUCUGAUGUGAAAGCCCACGGGCUCAACCGUGGAGGGUCAUUGGAAACUGGAGAACUUGAGUACAGAAGAGGAAAGCGGAAUUCCACGUGUAGCGGUGAAAUGCGUGGAGAUGUGGAGGAACACCAGUGGCGAAGGCGGCUUUCUGGUCUGUAACUGACGCUGAGGCGCGAAAGCGUGGGGAGCAAACAGAAUUAGAUACCCUGGUAGUCCACGCCGUAAACGAUGAGUGCUAAGUGUUAGGGGGUUUCCGCCCCUUAGUGCUGCAGCUAACGCAUUAAGCACUCCGCCUGGGGAGUACGGCCGCAAAGGCUG